AUAGCGUAUAUUAAAGUUGUUGCGGUUAAAAAGCUCGUAGUUGAAUCUGUGUCCCACGCUGUCGGUUCAUCGCUCGCGGUGUUUAACUGGCAUGACUGUGGGACGUCCUACCGGUGGGCUUAGCUCCUCACGGGGGGCGGCCCAACUAAUAUCCCAUCGCGGUGCUCUUUACCGAGUGUCGAGGUGGGCCGGUACGUUUACUUUGAACAAAUUAGAGUGCUUAAAGCAGGCUACCUUCGCCUGAAUACUGCGUGCAUGGAAUAAUGGAAUAGGACCUCGGUUCUAUUUUGUUGGUUUUCGGAACCCCGAGGUAAUGAUUAAUAGGGACAGAUGGGGGCAUUCGUAUUGCGACGUUAGAGGUGAAAUUCUUGGAUCGUCGCAAGACGGACAGAAGCGAAAGCAUUUGCCAAAAAUGUUUUCAUUAAUCAAGAACGAAAGUUAGAGGUUCGAAGGCGAUCAGAUACCGCCCUAGUUCUAACCAUAAACGAUGCCAGCUAGCGAUCCGCCGAAGUUCCUCCGAUGACUCGGCGGGCAGCUUCCGGGAAACCAAAGCUUUUGGGUUCCGGGGGAAGUAUGGUUGCAAAGCUGAAACUUAAAGGAAUUGACGGAAGGGCACCACCAGGAGUGGAGCCUGCGGCUUAAUUUGACUCAACACGGGAAACCUCACCAGGCCCGGACACCGGAAGGAUUGACAGAUUGAUAGCUCUUUCUUGAUUCGGUGGGUGGUGGUGCAUGGCCGUUCUUAGUUGGUGGAGCGAUUUGUCUGGUUAAUUCCGAUAACGAACGAGACUCUAGCCUGCUAAAUAGGCGUAAUUCAUGGUAUCUCGAAGGCCCUCGACUUCGGUCGGGCGGUUUUUACUACCGACGUACAAACAAAUCUUCUUAGAGGGAC
rnacentral:rRNA from 2 species